CUCGCGACCACGCCUCCAGGGCAGUUAUGGCCACCGCCCCACACCUCGCCCCACCUCUUUCCCAGAUCCUCCCCGCCAGCCACCACCCUCGACCUGUGCCUCCGCCGCCGGACCGCCGCGCCCCCGCUCCAGGCGCUCGGGCCGCCCCGUCCACGCGCCGCCCGGGCCGCCGCGCCCUCCCUGCCUUUCCUCACGCUUCCUCCCCCCGCCGCCGCCGCUCCCUCUUCCGCGGGUCGCCGUGCUCCCUCUCUGUAGCCACGGCCACUCGCUCCACCAGACGCUCGAUGCCCAUGUGGCGCUGCUGUCGCACGCGGCGGCAAAGGGUUCCACGGCGGAGACAUGGAAGAAGGAUGGCGGGGGUGGGGCCAUUGCCAUAGAUGAGCGCAGCCCCGAGCAGAUCCGAUUAGGAUCCUUCUCUCCAUCUCACUCUCUUUGUGCCUUCUCCCCUCUCUGCUCUCCCGUCUCUCUCAAUCUGCAGCAAGGCGUCGCGGGCUCGCGGCUGUGACGCCGGCGGCGUAAGGGCCUGCGGCGGCGGUAGACGAUCCAGAUUGAGAAGGUCACAUGAGUUUGCCAGCAGCACCCAUCUGUGUAUGCUCAAUUACCUAUCAGUAAAGAUAUACAUAUCAUUUGGUGGAAUAUGUAAGUAGACCUUCUGUGUAUGCUCGAUUACCUCUUGUAUUGAAUUUUCUGAAAUUUUGGAUCGAUCAACAUGUGAUCAGUGGUCAGAUGUAAAACUUGGCCUUACUAUCAGGUUGCAUGUAAGAGGUACAAUUACUUGAUUAUCAAUGCGUACUUUUCAGAAGCUUCACUAACAAGUGCAAAUAUGUAGUCUGGAACCAUCCCUGAAAAAUUAUUGGUAGCCCAGGUUUAGAAGCAUUUAAAUAUCUUUUCCAAUUGUUGUAAACUCACCAAAGCUCAGGAGCGGAACUCCCUUACCUGGAAGCAUCCUUGCCGAUGAAAGAACACUAUGCUGAAAUAUUUACCUACUAACUAUCAUACUAAGAAAAAACGUCAUUGAUUAGUUCUUAGAUUCUGGAAGGGCCUAUUUGAAUUAUUUAAGAACAAUGCUUCAUACUAAGAAAUUAGGCCGUUCAUAAGAUAUUAUUUCCUGGAAGGAUUUAUUUGAUUGAUAUAAGAUAAAAAAUAUUGCAAGCACCCAAUACUUGUUUUUCCUAAAUCAUUGUACAGACUGCUAAUUCCAGAUUUGAAUAUCCUCCCAGCUGAGGAGCAAUCGUAUCACAAGGAUGCACAUGCAGAACAAGCCCGGUUGUCAAAGGUUCAAAUACUGUGUACUUAAUGAGUUGUAUUUUGUGAAUCCUUAUUACUGUGUUUCAUGAAUCUAGACAAUGAUAAUACUAAUCCAGACUUUGUCGGUAUGGAUGAUGUUGUAGCCGCAAUUGAGCCUCCACCUCCUAUGUUUUUUGAAGGGCUUGGGAAUGACACUAAUAAAGUGGAUGUGCAAGCUCAAACCAACGAGGUUACGAUGUGAUUAAUUUCUUAGAAGUUCAUAUAUGUUCUGCUUCGUGUCAUCUUUAGUGCUUCAAGGGCAAACGGCUAGAUUCAAUUUGGAGCAUCGCGGGAAGGAGCAGGCAGCAGCGCCAAUACACUGAGGGUGGAGCAGCAGAGUCACCUGAUCUACCAGUAUGUCUGAUUGAUGCUGCCCACUGCUCCAUCAGCUUGCAUCCAGCAUCUCUAAAUUAGCAUUAUGUCAGGUUCUCGAUAUAUUUGCAAUGGAUUAAACAAUGGGCCUCUCUUGAUUCACACAUGUUCACAUUUCAAGCUAUUUGAUGCUUGCGAAGCUUUACCACUAAUCCACAUCUUCUUUGCUCAAGUAAUUCAAGGCUGUGCAAUGUGAGAUAAUCAUGUAUGGUGUUACCGAAUGGGCUGGAAAGUUUCUAAAUUAUGAGCUCUGCAUGAUUAAGCGGCGUCGGGACCUGUACUUCAUUUAUUGCAGAGCAAGAAAGGAACAUCAAAGAAGCUGUUAAAAUGGAUGGGAGAAUUUGCUAAAACAUGUUUACCUAUUUUUUUAAAUAUUAAGUGUAUUCUAGAAAGAAAAUAAUUGUAUGUUUCAUGGAGUAACAAAUCAGGAACUGUGCAGGUAUGUGUUCAUCUUGAUGGGAGUUUGUCCGAGAUGCUGGGCGAGGGGAUUGUUUCCGCACUGCAUGUAUCCAAGUGUUUAGGGAUGCCUUUUGCGAACAAAUUUAGUUUUUUUUGAGCGAGCAAAUUGAUACUUUUUUUAUGAAUGUAUUCGAGUGGGUGAAAUACUCCCCAUUUGUCUCGAGAGGUCCUGGUGUGGAAGCUUAGCACUGGGUUUGUCAUUAUUGAGGCAAGAAUAGCUUGAAUAGUUUGCAGUGCGUAAUGCAUCAUGUGUAGAAAAAGAUAGUUAUAUUUGUAUAGAGUAAAUUACAAGGUUUGAGGUAUUUGAAAAAAAAAUACUUUGUUGUACAAUGCGAUCUUUUGUGCUUGUUAUUAUAAGUUGGAGUAAAUUUGUAUUAGUUAA